GAUGAACGCUGGCGGCGUGCCUAAUACAUGCAAGUCGAGCGAACAGACGAGGAGCUUGCUCCUCUGACGUUAGCGGCGGACGGGUGAGUAACACGUGGAUAACCUACCUAUAAGACUGGGAUAACUUCGGGAAACCGGAGCUAAUACCGGAUAAUAUAUUGAACCGCAUGGUUCAAUAGUGAAAGACGGUUUUGCUGUCACUUAUAGAUGGAUCCGCGCCGCAUUAGCUAGUUGGUAAGGUAACGGCUUACCAAGGCAACGAUGCGUAGCCGACCUGAGAGGGUGAUCGGCCACACUGGAACUGAGACACGGUCCAGACUCCUACGGGAGGCAGCAGUAGGGAAUCGUCCGCAAGGGGCGAAAGCGUGACGGAGCAACGCCGCGUGAGUGAUGAAGGUCUGCGGAUCGUAAAACUCUGUUAUUAGGGAAGAAAAAAUGUGUAAGUAACUAUGCACGUCUAGACGGUACCUAAUCAGAAAGCCACGGCUAACUACG
rnacentral:rRNA from 1 species